GCCAAGGAAAAAAACCACGGGGGAUGGGAAUAGUGAAGCACCCCUAAAACCUCAUAUUAGUCAACAGCUUUAAUCCUCUUUUCCUCUGCAUAUUUUAUCAGUACAGGCCACAUUUGAGGAGGCUGUUGUUGGCUUGAAUUUCUGCUUCUUGAAUGUCCCAUAGCAAUGAGGAGUCAAGUAGCUAAGUGAUCACAACUCUCAGUCAAGCCUUUCAUGAUUCUCUACUGGUUACCCCAAUAAUCUGGGUGGGAGCUCUCUUCGUGUACCUGCUCCGUUAUAUGCGACCGUCCAAGGUAAAUGCCUCCAGGUUCAGUGAUUCCUCCACUCCCUUAAAAUCAGAUGACAAAUACUAC
rnacentral:lncRNA from 1 species